GUGGGGAAUCUUAGACAAUGGGCGCAAGCCUGAUCUAGCCAUGCCGCGUGAGCGAUGAAGGCCUUAGGGUUGUAAAGCUCUUUCAGCUGGGAAGAUAAUGACGGUACCAGCAGAAGAAGCCCCGGCUAACUCCGUGCCAGCAGCCGCGGUAAUACGGAGGGGGCUAGCGUUGUUCGGAUUUACUGGGCGUAAAGCGCACGUAGGCGGAUCGUUAAGUCGGGGGUGAAAUCCCGGGGCUCAACCCCGGAACUGCCUUCGAUACUGGCGAUCUUGAGUCCGGAAGAGGUGAGUGGAACUCCUAGUGUAGAGGUGGAAUUCGUAGAUAUUAGGAAGAACACCAGUGGCGAAGGCGGCUCACUGGUCCGGUACUGACGCUGAGGUGCGAAAGCGUGGGGAGCAAACAGGAUUAGAAACCCGGGUAGUCC
rnacentral:rRNA from 1 species